rnacentral:rRNA from 1 species
CAGUAGCCGCGGGAAUACGUAGGUGGCAAGCGUUGUCCGGAAUUAUUGGGCGUAAAGGGCUCGCAGGCGGUUUCUUAAGUCUGAUGUGAAAGCCCCCGGCUCAACCGGGGAGGGUCAUUGGAAACUGGGAAACUUGAGUGCAGAAGAGGAGAGUGGAAUUCCACGUGUAGCGGUGAAAUGCGUAGAGAUGUGGAGGAACACCAGUGGCGAAGGCGACUCUCUGGUCUGUAACUGACGCUGAGGAGCGAGAGCGUGGGGAGCGAACAGGAUUAGAUACCCCCGUAGUCCCUGUCUCUUAUAC